CCGAUAUUUUAUCCUGAGGGAUUUAUUUUAUUAGUUCAAUCAACACCCCAUCUCACACCAUACCCUAUGUUCCUAAUAGCCACCCUAUAUCAUGAUUAUUUUUUUCAUACAUGUCUUUAUGCAGACAAUCAAAUCUCCCAUAUAUUAUCAAAUUUCUUUUGCUUUAGUCUGUCCACUUUCUUUUGCUUCCACUUUCAAAUUCCACUACACCUAACUUCACCACUACACGAUAUCUUGUCCAAUUUCUUUAGCUUUUAGGCUGUCAAUCUUCCUUCUUUAAUGAUUCAAGGCAGCAACUACUUCACCAUUCUUCACUAACUCCACGAGAAGAGCAAGUAGGAGAACUCCAUGCAUUUUUCUGCCAUUAUUCAAGGUAAAUCUUAGCUUCAAUCUUCCACAUCCUCUUCAUGUUUCACCCUGCAAUUGUUGAAGAAUACAAAUGUAUUUCAGAAAAAUCCUCAUCAUCCAUCGUUCCCAUCAAAAGCAAGCAAACAACUCAAGAGAAAAUUCAGCAAGUGUGAGUCCUUCUAAAGGUUUAAUCUUUGAAUAUUUAUACCCGUACCAUUUUACACAUGACUUACACACCUUGGUCAUCAAACCAAUUUCAGUUACACCUAACAUUUUUAUACAGUAUAUUCAUGGAUUUGUUAGACACAUAUAUAUGUAUAUAAUUACCAUCACCAUUCUGCAUAUAUGAGAUAUAUAUAUAUGAUUUGAAGAAGAUUUAUUGUUUUCGUUCUAAACAAGAGCUCGAGUUUUAAAGAAAGGAUUUUUCUUGAGUUUGCCUCUCUUUUUAAGUUGUUGUACUGAGUCGGGUAAGAGAGAGAUUUACCUUGCUGUGGUGUAGAGUCGAGAGGUAGAGGGAGGCUAGGGCUCGGCGGCGGCUCCACCGCUGUUGUCCGGCCGAGGAUGGAGCAUGAGAGAUGAGGGUGGUAGCUGGUCUGGGUGGAGGCCAGGGCGCGGCAGCCUUGCUGUUGCUGUCGCUCGGCCACGGUCGGAGGGAGAGGAGAGUCGGAGUCGGCGGACGGCGGUGGUUAAUUCUCGCUGCUAUCGCCGGAGUUCCAGAGGGAGGAUCGGUCGAGAGAGGUCAGAGAGAGAGCUGGUGGCGGCGGCUCGUCGCUGCUACGUCUCCGGCGAGUUUCCACGGCGGCGGGUCAGUUUGAUGAGUGAGGAUGAGGGAGAAGGGGGUUUGGUGUGAAGCGAGAGAUGAGGGAAGAGGGAGAGAAGUUGAGGAGAGGCGGAGUCAGCCGCCAGCGUCCGGCGGCAGCACUGCCGUCCGGCGCGAGGUGGCAGGGAGCCGAGAGAGGGAGAGGAAGGCGCAGCUGCUAUGUGUGUGUG
rnacentral:lncRNA from 1 species